GACGAACGCUGGCGGCGUGCUUAACACAUGCAAGUCGAACGGAAGGGCCCUGCUUUUGUGGGGUGCUCGAGUGGCGCACGGGUGAGUAACACGUGAGUAACCUGCCCUUGACUUUGGGAUAACUUCAGGAAACUGGGGCUAAUACCGGAUAGGAGCUCCUGCUGCAUGGUGGGGGUUGGAAAGUUUCGGCGGUUGGGGCUGGACUCGCGGCUUAUCAGCUUGUUGGUGGGGUAGUGGCUUACCAAGGCUUUGACGGGUAGCCGGCCUGAGAGGGUGACCGGCCACAUUGGGACUGAGAUACGGACCAGACGCCUACGGGAGGCAGCAGUGGGGAACAUGGCACAAUGGGCGGAAGCCUGAUGCAGCAACGCCGCGUGCGGGAUGACGGCCUUCGGGUUGUAAACCGCUUUCGCCUGUGACGAAGCGUGAGUGACGGUAAUGGGUAAAGAAGCACCGGCUAACUACGUG
rnacentral:rRNA from 1 species